AUGAUCGUCAUCUUCUGCUUAAUGUUCAACAUGAUUCACGUUUUAGGCUCUUCCCUCAGCGAUCGGGUCCAUCAGACUCCGGCUGAUUUGUUCCACGAGCCCGGAGGAAACGCCGUCAUCAGCUGCACACACAGCAUCGACAACUACGAUGUAAUCCUCUGGUACAAACACUCGACGAGCAGCCAGAUGCAGCUCCUGGGAUACAACGAUGCCGUAAACGGAUACCCAGAGCCGGGGUUAAAGGUGAAAAUCAGUGGCAGCGCAAGCAAAGACAAGAUCAGCACUCUGACGGUGGAGGAUCUGAGCGAGAGCAGCAGCGCCAUUUAUUUCUGCGCCGCUAAAUACCACAGUGCUUCAUGUUAA